rnacentral:tRNA from 1 species
UCAGAGUAUAGCUAAGACAGCAAAGCAUCUCCCUUACACUGAGAAGUCAUCCGUGCAAAUCGGAUUACCCUGAA